AGUGAACGCUGGCGGUAGGCCUAACACAUGCAAGUCGAACGGCAGCACAGUAAGAGCUUGCUCUUACGGGUGGCGAGUGGCGGACGGGUGAGGAAUACAUCGGAAUCUACUUUUUCGUGGGGGAUAACGUAGGGAAACUUACGCUAAUACCGCAUACGACCUACGGGUGAAAGCAGGGGAUCUUCGGACCUUGCGCGAUUGAACGAGCCGAUGUCGGACUAGCUAGUUGGCGGGGUAAAGGCCCACCAAGGCGACGAUCCGUAGCUGGUCUGAGAGGAUGAUCAGCCACACUGGAGCUGAGACACGGUCCAGACUCCUACGGGAGGCAGCAGUGGGGAAUAUUGGACAAUGGGCGCAAGCCUGAUCCAGCCAUACCGCGUGGGUGAAGAAGGCCUUCGGGUUGUAAAGCCCUUUUGUUGGGAAAGAAAAGCAGCAGGUUAAUACCCCGCUGUUCUGACGGUACCCAAAGAAUAAGCACCGGCUAACUUCGUG
rnacentral:rRNA from 1 species